UACGGAGGGGGCAAGCGUUGUCCGGACUUACUGGGCGUAAAGGGUGCGUAGGCGGCCUGUUGCGUCGGUGCUGAAAGCGCCCGGCUUAACCGGGCGAGGCGUGCCGAUACGAGCGGGCUGGAGCCUUGGCGAGGGUGGCGGAACUCCUGGUGUAGUGGUGAAAUGCGUAGAGAUCAGGAAGAACACCCGUGGCGCAAGCGGCCACCUGGCCAAGAGCUGACGCUGAGGCACGAGAGCGUGGGGAGCGAACCGG
rnacentral:rRNA from 1 species